UACGUAGGGGGCAAGCGUUAUCCGGAAUUACUGGGUGUAAAGGGUGCGUAGGUGGUAUGGCAAGUCAGAAGUGAAAACCCAGGGCUUAACUCUGGGACUGCUUUUGAAACUGUCAGACUGGAGUGCAGGAGAGGUAAGUGGAAUUCCUAGUGUAGCGGUGAAAUGCGUAGAUAUUAGGAGGAACAUCAGUGGCGAAGGCGGCUUACUGGACUGAAACUGACACUGAGGCACGAAAGCGUGGGGAGCAAACAGG
rnacentral:rRNA from 1 species